rnacentral:rRNA from 1 species
GGGUUGUGAGGUUAAGCGACUAAGCGUACACGGUGGAUGCCCUGGCAGUCAGAGGCGAUGAAGGGCGUGCUAAUCUGCGAUAAGCGCCGGUAAGGUGAUAUGAACCGUUAUAACCGGCGAUACCCGAAUGGGGAAACCCAGUGUGACUCGUCACACUAUCAUUAACUGAAUCCAUAGGUUAAUGAGGCGAACCGGGGGAACUGAAACAUCUAAGUACCCCGAGGAAAAGAAAUCAACCGAGAUUCCCCCAGUAGCGGCGAGCGAACGGGGAGGAGCCCAGAGCCUGAAUCAGCAUGUGUGUUAGUGGAAGCGUCUGGAAAGGCGCGCGAUACAGGGUGACAGCCCCGUACACAAAAGCGCAUGUGCUGUGAGCUCGAUGAGUAGGGCGGGACACGUGGUAUCCUGUCUGAAUAUGGGGGGACCAUCCUCCAAGGCUAAAUACUCCUGACUGACCGAUAGUGAACCAGUACCGUGAGGGAAAGGCGAAAAGAACCCCGGCGAGGGGAGUGAAAAAGAACCUGAAACCGUGUACGUACAAGCAGUGGGAGCACAGGUUUACCUGUGUGACUGCGUACCUUUUGUAUAAUGGGUCAGCGACUUAUAUUCUGUAGCAAGGUUAACCGUAUAGGGGAGCCGUAGGGAAACCGAGUCUUAACCGGGCGUUAAGUUGCAGGGUAUAGACCCGAAACCCGGUGAUCUAGCCAUGGGCAGGUUGAAGGUUGGGUAACACUAACUGGAGGACCGAACCGACUAAUGUUGAAAAAUUAGCGGAUGACCUGUGGCUGGGGGUGAAAGGCCAAUCAAACCGGGAGAUAGCUGGUUCUCCCCGAAAGCUAUUUAGGUAGCGCCUCGUGAAUUCAUCUCCGGGGGUAGAGCACUGUUUCGGCUAGGGGGCCAUCCCGGCUUACCAACCCGAUGCAAACUGCGAAUACCGGAGAAUGUUAUCACGGGAGACACACGGCGGGUGCUAACGUCCGUCGUGAAGAGGGAAACAACCCAGACCGCCAGCUAAGGUCCCAAAGUCAUGGUUAAGUGGGAAACGAUGUGGGAAGGCCCAGACAGCCAGGAUGUUGGCUUAGAAGCAGCCAUCAUUUAAAGAAAGCGUAAUAGCUCACUGGUCGAGUCGGCCUGCGCGGAAGAUGUAACGGGGCUAAACCAUGCACCGAAGCUGCGGCAGCGACGCUGAUGCGUUGUUGGGUAGGGGAGCGUUCUGUAAGCCUGUGAAGGUGGCCUGUGAGGGUUGCUGGAGGUAUCAGAAGUGCGAAUGCUGACAUAAGUAACGAUAAAGCGGGUGAAAAGCCCGCUCGCCGGAAGACCAAGGGUUCCUGUCCAACGUUAAUCGGGGCAGGGUGAGUCGACCCCUAAGGCGAGGCCGAAAGGCGUAGUCGAUGGGAAACGGGUUAAUAUUCCCGUACUUGGUGUUACUGCGAAGGGGGGACGGAGAAGGCUAUGUUGGCCGGGCGACGGUUGUCCCGGUUUAAGCGUGUAGGUGUGUGUUCCAGGUAAAUCCGGUUCACUUUAACACUGAGGCGUGAUGACGAGGCACUACGGUGCUGAAGCAACAAAUGCCCUGCUUCCAGGAAAAGCCUCUAAGCAUCAGGUAACAUCAAAUCGUACCCCAAACCGACACAGGUGGUCAGGUAGAGAAUACCAAGGCGCUUGAGAGAACUCGGGUGAAGGAACUAGGCAAAAUGGUGCCGUAACUUCGGGAGAAGGCACGCUGACACGUAGGU